rnacentral:rRNA from 1 species
GAUGAACGCUGGAGGCGUGCCUAAUACAUGCAAGUCGAGCGAACAGACGAGGAGCUUGCUCCUCUGACGUUAGCGGCGGACGGGUGAGUAACACGUGGAUAACCUACCUAUAAGACUGGGAUAACUUCGGGAAACCGGAGCUAAUACCGGAUAAUAUAUUGAACCGCAUGGUUCAAUAGUGAAAGACGGUUUUGCUGUCACUUAUAGAUGGAUCCGCGCCGCAUUAGCUAGUUGGUAAGGUAACGGCUUACUAAGGCAACGAUGCGUAGCCGACCUGAGAGGGUGAUCGGCCACACUGGAACUGAGACACGGUCCAGACUCCUACGGGAGGCAGCAGUAGGGAAUCUUCCGCAAUGGGCGAAAGCCUGACGGAGCAACGCCGCGUGAGUGAUGAAGGUCUUCGGAUCGUAAAACUCUGUUAUUAGGGAAGAACAAAUGUGUAAGUAACUAUGCACGUCUUGACGGUACCUAAUCAGAAAGCCACGGCUAACUACGUGCCAGCAGCCGCCGUAA